rnacentral:rRNA from 1 species
CGCGCAGGCGGCCUCUUAAGUCUGAUGUGAAAGCCCCCGGCUCAACCGGGGAGGGCCAUUGGAAACUGGGAGGCUUGAGUAUAGGAGAGAAGAGUGGAAUUCCACGUGUAGCGGUGAAAUGCGUAGAGAUGUGGAGGAACACCAGUGGCGAAGGCGGCCCCCUGGACAAAGACUGACGCUCAGGUGCGAAAGCGUGGGGAGCAAACAGGAUUAGAUACCCGAGUA